rnacentral:rRNA from 1 species
GAUGAACGCUGGCGGCGUGCCUAAUACAUGCAAGUCGAGCGAACGGACGAGAAGCUUGCUUCUCUGGUGUUAGCGGCGGACGGGUGAGUAACACGUGGAUAACCUACCUAUAAGACUGGGAUAACUUCGGGAAACCGGAGCUAAUACCGGAUAAUAUUUUGAACCGCAUGGUUCAAAAGUGAAAGACGGUCUUGCUGUCACUUAUAGAUGGAUCCGCGCUGCAUUAGCUAGUUGGUAAGGUAACGGCUUACCAAGGCAACGAUGCAUAGCCGACCUGAGAGGGUGAUCGGCCACACUGGAACUGAGACACGGUCCAGACUCCUACGGGAGGCAGCAGUAGGGAAUCUUCCGCAAUGGGCGAAAGCCUGACGGAGCAACGCCGCGUGAGUGAUGAAGGUCUUCGGAUCGUAAAACUCUGUUAUUAGGGAAGGACAUAUGUGUAAGUAACUGUGCACAUCUUGACGGUACCUAAUCAGAAAGCCACGGCUAACUACGUG